rnacentral:rRNA from 1 species
UAAGUCGAACGGAAAGGUCUCUUCGGAGAUACUCGAGUGGCGAACGGGUGAGUAACACGUGGGUGAUCUGCCCUGCACUUCGGGAUAAGCCUGGGAAACUGGGUCUAAUAC